GCGGCGUGCUUAACACAUGCAAGUCGAACGAUGAACCUCCUUCGGGAGGGGAUUAGUGGCGAACGGGUGAGUAACACGUGGGCAAUCUGCCCUUCACUCUGGGACAAGCCCUGGAAACGGGGUCUAAUACCGGAUAUGACACGGGGUCGCAUGAUCUCCGUGUGGAAAGCUCCGGCGGUGAAGGAUGAGCCCGCGGCCUAUCAGCUUGUUGGUGAGGUAGUGGCUCACCAAGGCGACGACGGGUAGCCGGCCUGAGAGGGCGACCGGCCACACUGGGACUGAGACACGGCCCAGACUCCUACGGGAGGCAGCAGUGGGGAAUAUUGCACAAUGGGCGAAAGCCUGAUGCAGCGACGCCGCGUGAGGGAUGACGGCCUUCGGGUUGUAAACCUCUUUCAGCAGGGAAGAAGC
rnacentral:rRNA from 1 species